GUCAGGGUAAGAGGGCGUGAGAGGAAAACUGUCAGUUGCUGCUCUGCUGAGACAUGAGAAACAUCCACAAAGGCAAAAAUGUCAAGACCUGUGGCAAAUCAGAAAUUAAGAAAAAUAUUAAAAAUGUACAUAGUUGUUACCAAUGACAACAUGUAGAUCAGAAGUUAAGGCAAGCACUUAGAGACAGAAGCCCAUUAUGACCCAAAUUGGCACUGCCUCCAGGUUUCUCUGAGUCAUCAGUAUUACAAUAAACAGUUUUUAAGUGGUUUUCAGAUGAAUGGAGGUAUAUCAGCUUGAGGUCUACCAGUUAUUAUUUGUUUUAAUAAGGGAAAUGAAGAGGGGGAAGAUGGGCUUUUACGAAAACCGAACUGCAUGGCUCACAGCUAAGAAAAGAGUAGUCACCAGUAUUCUAAUUUUUCAACCACAAAACAUCCUGGAAGGCUCUGGACAUACUUUUAUGUUCAUAAUUUCAGUACCUGCACAUUUGAUUUCAUCUUUAAUUGGUUCUGUGUGCCUGAGGAAUGGCAAAAGGAAUUCUUUAAAGACAGACAUGCCACAGAAAGGAGCGAAAAAACCAAAAAACCAAAUGGCAAACAGCCACAGCCUUCCAUUAUAGAAUAGCAAGCGACUCCCAGGCCCUAGUUCCAGCAGAGGUUAACGCGCACCAGCACAUGAAUUCUCUCUCCUCCAGCAACACACACACCAGCGACGGGUCCUGUCCCGCGGGAUGAGCUCCGCACGGUGCUGAGCGAGCAUUCUGCCUUCCUGUGCAGUUGCCAAGCAAACCACCUCACGGCGGGCAGAAACAGCACACAAAAGGGAGUUGUGGUUGCGAGUUCUCCAGGCUGGUAAAAGCCCCAGUGAGGAGGCAAUUAUUUACCUCAUUACCUUAACUAUUCCCCCGCGGAAACCAAUCCAGUUUUCUCCUAUGAAUAGCUGCUCAGGAGCAGCCAGGCAUAAGAGGCUGAGUUCCCAGCAGUACUUUCACCUGGAAUACACUGGGCAGAGCUAUUGUUUCCUUUGGAAGCCAGAGAAGCUCAUCUCAGUCGAUCUCUUCACUUCUGACAAGAGACCACAUAUGCAGUACAUAGCAGACAAGCAGGAGACAGACUCUCAGAAACUAUGCCACUAACUAAUAACACCCCGGAACUGACCACAAGUACAAGACUCUAAUGCAGGAGACCAGCAGACUGUUAUGGACUGAACAUUUGUGUCUCCUCUUAAAUUCAUAUAUUGAAGCCCUAACCCCAGUGUGGCUGUAUUUGGAGAUGGCAUCACUCAAGAAAAGUGAUUAGAUCAGGUCAGAAGGGUGGGGCCCUGAUCCUGCAGGAUUGGCGUCCUCAUAUGGAGAGACACUGGACAGCCCUCUGUACACGGGAGCACCAGGGACAGGCCCUGCGAGGAUGUGAGAAGGUGGCCCUCUACCUGCCGGGAAGAGUCUUUACCGGAAAUCAUACUGGUCACAACCUUGAUACUGAACUUCUAGCCUCAGGAACUGUUUGUAAAUAAAUUUCUGUUGUCUAAGCUC